rnacentral:snRNA from 1 species
GGACAUGAAGGCAAUCUGGCUGUGACAUCUACCACCCCAUUGAUUGCCAGCACUGAUUCAGCUGAUCUGGCUAGCUAGGCUAGUGUCCCUUUCCACCCUCACUGCUCCAUGUACAUCACUCUAGAAGCUGCGCACGUGGUUAAAGACGAUGAGCUUCCCUGGCAGAGGCGUACUGUUCAUUGUGUUU